rnacentral:rRNA from 1 species
AGGAUAAACGCUGGCGGCGUGCCUAACACAUGCAAGUCGAACGUCUCUUUCUUCGGGAAGAGGAGUGGCGGACGGGUGAGGAACACGUGGGAACCUGCCCUUUAGUGAGGAAUACCGGCGAGAAAUCGCCGACAAGACCGCAUAGCCCUCUUUGAUGAGAGUCAAAGAAGGAAAGCUUCGCAAGAGGCGCUAGAGGAGGGGCCUGCGUCCGAUUAGCUAGUUGGUGGGGUAAGAGCCUACCAAGGCGUCGAUCGGUAGCUGGUCUGAGAGGACGAUCAGCCACACUGGGAUUGAGAACGGCCCAGACUCCUACGGGGGGCAGCAGUGAGGAAUUUUCGGCAAUGGGGGAAACCCUGACCGAGCAACGCCGCGUGCAGGAAGACGGCCUUGGGUUGUAAACUGUCUUUCUUGGGACGAGGAAGGACGGUACCAGAGGAAUCAGCCCGGCUCACUACGUGCCAGCAGCCGC